UAUUAGUCAAUGCUCGAAAGAGUGAACUAGCUAACUGAAAUCUUAAUAAAGAUAAGGUAAAGGAAAAUAAUGAUACUACUUUACUAUUAGCGUCGUCCAAUGCUGGUGCCAGAAGACUCGGUAACGCCAGAGACGCAAACGUUAGUCAUCUUAAACAGGCGUAAAGGGUUUGUAGGCUGCUUCCAAUAUUUUUAAUUUGAUAUAGCUCAUGUUACAGAUAAGCUCAUUAAAAUGAUGAAUGAGAAUAUCAUGUGCAUAUGAAUUAAAAAUAAAGUGAAGAUAGAAUCAAAAAGAGGUUAUUAUAUAAUACUUAGAGUAGUGUUUCAAUACGAAAAUACUAAGUAGAAUACUAACGGCGAAGGCAGUUAACCACUAAUGAUUGACGCUGAGAAACGAAGGUAAGGAUAGGAAAUAGGAUUAGAGACCCAUGAACCCCUCACUGUAAACGAUGAAUGGUAGUUAUCAGUUUUUAAACUGGUUUCGAGGUUAACACGUUGACCAUUCCGCCUUGUGAGUACGAUUGCAAAAUUGAAAACAAAAAAAUUAGUCGGUCUCGAAGCAAACGAAGUGAAGCAUGUUAUUUAAUUCGUUAAUCCGCCA
rnacentral:rRNA from 1 species